GACGAACGCUGGCGGCGUGCUUAACACAUGCAAGUCGAACGGAAAGGCCCUGCUUUUGUGGGGUGCUCGAGUGGCGAACGGGUGAGUAACACGUGAGUAACCUGCCCUUGACUUUGGGAUAACUUCAGGAAACUGGGGCUAAUACCGGAUAGGAGCUCCUGCUGCAUGGUGGGGGUUGGAAAGUUUCGGCGGUUGGGGAUGGACUCGCGGCUUAUCAGCUUGUUGGUGGGGUAGUGGCUUACCAAGGCUUUGACGGGUAGCCGGCCUGAGAGGGUGAUCGGCCACAUUGGGACUGAGAUACGGCCCAGACUCCUACGGGAGGCAGCAGUGGGGAAUAUUGCACAAUGGGCGGAAGCCUGAUGCAGCAACGCCGCGUGCGGGAUGACGGCCUUCGGGUUGUAAACCGCUUUCGCCUGUGGCGAAGCGUGAGUGACGGUAAUGGGUAAAGAAGCACCGGCUAACUACGUG
rnacentral:rRNA from 1 species